rnacentral:rRNA from 1 species
GAUGAACGCUAGCUACAGGCUUAACACAUGCAAGUCGAGGGGCAGCAUUAGGUAGCAAUACUGAGAUGGCGACCGGCGCACGGGUGCGUAACGCGUAUCCAACCUUCCCGUUACUCUCGGAUAGCCUUCCGAAAGGGAGAUUAAUACGAGAUGGUGUUGAAAUUCCGCAUGUUAUUCAACUAAAGAUUCAUCGGUAACGGAUGGGGAUGCGUGACAUUAGGUAGAUGGCGGGGUAACGGCCCACCAUGCCCACGAUGUCUAGGGGUUCUGAGAGGAAGGUCCCCCACACUGGAACUGAGACACGGUCCAGACUCCUACGGGAGGCAGCAGUGAGGAAUAUUGGUCAAUGGUCGGAAGACUGAACCAGCCAAGUAGCGUGAAGGAUGAAGGUUCUAUGGAUUGUAAACUUCUUUUAUACGGGAAUAAAACCACCUACGUGUAGGUGCUUGUAUGUACCGUAUGAAUAAGCAUCGGCUAACUCCGUG